rnacentral:rRNA from 1 species
GUUUUUCGCUUGAGGAUGAGCCCAUGUGGGAUUAGCUAGUUGGUGAGGUAAUGGCUCACCAAGGCGACGAUCCCUAACUGGUCUUAGAGGAUGAUCAGUCACACUGGAACUGAGACACGGUCCAGACUCCUACGGGAGGCAGCAGUAGGGAAUAUUGCGCAAUGGGGGAAACCCUGACGCAGCGACGCCGCGUGAGUGAUGAAGGCCUUCGGGUCGUAAAGCUCUGUCGUAUGGGAAUAACACAAUG